UGGCUCAGAUUAACCGCUGGCGGCAGGCCUACACAUGCAAGUCGAGCGGUAACAGAAAGUAGCUUGCUACUUUGCUGACGAGCGGCGGACGGGUGAGUAAUGCUUGGGAACAUGCCUUGAGGUGGGGGACAACAGUUGGAAACGACUGCUAAUACCGCAUAAUGUCUACGGACCAAAGGGGGCUUCGGCUCUCGCCUUUAGAUUGGCCCAAGUGGGAUUAGCUAGUUGGUGAGGUAAUGGCUCACCAAGGCGACGAUCCCUAGCUGGUUUGAGAGGAUGAUCAAGCCACACUGGGACUGAGACACGGCCCAGACUCCUACGGGAGGCAGCAGUGGGGAAUAUUGCACAAUGGGCGCAAGCCUGAUGCAGCCAUGCCGCGUGUGUGAAGAAGGCCUUCGGGUUGUAAAGCACUUUCAGUCAGGAGGAAAGGUUAACGGUUAAUACCCGUUAGCUGUGACGUUACUGACAGAAGAAGCACCGG
rnacentral:rRNA from 1 species